UACCCGCAACCCCCUAUAACUGU
rnacentral:siRNA from 1 species